UCCCUGCUGGUCCAAUGGUUAAGACUCUGAGCUUCCAAUUCAGGGGCCCAGGUUCCAUCCCUGGCUGGGGAA
rnacentral:tRNA from 1 species